rnacentral:rRNA from 1 species
AUGCUACCGACAAAUAUGCUCAAUGCUGCAACCGGUGCUAUGUGGAGUCUGCAUGACAGUGUUCUUUCUUUGGAGAAGCGGCGUCUCAGAGAGAAGGAUGUGGCAUACCCGGUUUUCGCGGCCAAGGUGCCAGAGGGCAAGGGCUUUGUGGAUAACUCCAUCGGGCGUACGAUCGUCCUGCGGUUUGAUGACAUCCACGUUAUGAUGAACCUUCAUCCGCUGCACUACACCUUCGUUCGGCUAUUUUCGCUGAGUAUGGAGAUGCGGAUCAUUCGCGACAAGACCCCGGACAUCGUGAUAGUCGACCCCUUCUACAUGCGUGCCAAGAUCUUGGGCAGCGCUGGGGACCGGCAAGUCGUGAGUUCUUACCUCGAAGGCGUCAUUCUGGCAAACCAAGAUAAGGAUAACUUCCUCGUGCCUUACUUUCCCGAGUAA